AGGACGAACGCUGGCGGCGUGCUUAACACAUGCAAGUCGAACGAUGAAGCCCUUCGGGUGGAUUAGUGGCGAACGGGUGAGUAACACGUGGGCAAUCUGCCCUUCACUCUGGGACAAGCCCUGGAAACGGGGUCUAAUACCGGAUAUGACCAUCUUGGGCAUCCUUGAUGGUGUAAAGCUCCGGCGGUGAAGGAUGAGCCCGCGGCCUAUCAGCUUGUUGGUGAGGUAAUGGCUCACCAAGGCGACGACGGGUAGCCGGCCUGAGAGGGCGACCGGCCACACUGGGACUGAGACACGGCCCAGACUCCUACGGGAGGCAGCAGUGGGGAAUAUUGCACAAUGGGCGCAAGCCUGAUGCAAGCGACGCCGCGUGAGGGAUGACGGCCUUCGGGUUGUAAACCUCUUUCGGCAGGGAAGAAGCGCAAGUGACGGUACCUGCAGAAGAAGCGCCGGCUAACUACGUGCCAGCCGCGGC
rnacentral:rRNA from 1 species